AUUGAACGCUGGCGGCAGGCCUAACACAUGCAAGUCGAGCGGAUGAAGGGAGCUUGCUCCUGGAUUCAGCGGCGGACGGGUGAGUAAUUCCUAGGAAUCUGCCUGGUAUUGGGGGAUAACGUCCGGAAACGGGCGCUAAUACCGCAUACGUCCUGAGGGAGAAAGUGGGGGAUCUUCGGACCUCACGCUAUCAGAUGAGCCUAGGUCGGAUUAGCUAGUUGGUGGGGUAAAGGCCUACCAAGGCGACGAUCCGUAACUGGUCUGAGAGGAUGAUCAGUCACACUGGAACUGAGACACGGUCCAGACUCCUACGGGAGGCAGCAGUGGGGAAUAUUGGACAAUGGGCGAAAGCCUGAUCCAGCCAUGCCGCGUGUGUGAAGAAGGUCUUCGGAUUGUAAAGCACUUUAAGUUGGGAGGAAGGGCAGUAAGUUAAUACCUUGCUGUUUUGACGUUACCAACAGAAUAAGCACCGGCUAACUUCGUG
rnacentral:rRNA from 1 species